rnacentral:ncRNA from 1 species
AACUGCGUCUGUUGCGACGCUAGAGAGUAAUCUCUAGAAAAAUAAACUUGGCUAUAUGCUGGAAAUCCUGAGAAUCCUGGACUACGGUCGUGAUAUAAUUAAAUAUCAUAGCCGUGAUAAUGUCACAGGUGCAGAAAAUCAGCAGGGAAGUCGUAAUUGACCCCUCAGAGACUACACGCCGAGCCCCUUGUAAAGAAGAAAUACAAGCUUAUCUGUUGGGUGCGCUUCACGAUGCCUCUCUCAAUAAAAAGAAACGUUAUCGUUUUACCCAGAAGGGUACCGAAUGGUUAACGCUUCUUCAAAAGUUAUUCCAAGAACUUGGAUACAAGUCUUGGAUAUAUAGAGAAGGGAAUCGCGAAGUGUACACUCUGGAAACGCUUGCGCAGUUUCUUGAUUUUGGUUUCGAUCCAUUGACACUGGAUACAAACGUAGAAAAGGUCGCGUAUAUUAGAGGUUUCUUUGAUGCCGAAGGCGGCGUCCCUCGAAAUGCAAAAGCCGAUUUCUACAUCCAGCUGGUUCAGAAGGAUAAAACAAAGAUUGAGAAGCUCGUGAGAAUGCUCGAUACAUUAGGCAUUAGUACCGGGAAAAUACACAAUCCAAGCGAACGUGUUGACCCAAACUACUGGCGAAUAUAUGUAUCAUGGCGAUCUCAUAAAGAUUUUGUUUCUAAGAUCGGAUCAUGGCAUCCACUUAAGGCAAAAAUUCUUCAAACAAGGGUGAUGAUAUAGUCCAUGCCUCAUGGCGACAUGAGG